AGGUAAUAGAUACCCGGGUAGUCCACGCCGUAAACGAUGAUGACUAGCUGUCGGGGCGCUUAGCGUUCCGGUGGCGUAGCUAAACGCGUUAAGUCAUCCGCCUGGGGAGUACGGCCGCAAGGUUAAAACUCAAAGAAAUUGACGGGGGCCUGCACAAGCGGUGGAGCAUGUGGUUUAAUUCGAAGCAACGCGCAGAACCUUACCAGCGUUUGACAUGGUAGGACGGUUUCCAGAGAUGGAUUCCUUCCCUUACGGGACCUACACACAGGUGCUGCAUGGCUGUCGUCAGCUCGUGUCGUGA
rnacentral:rRNA from 1 species